rnacentral:rRNA from 1 species
ACGAACGCUGGCGGCACGCUUAACACAUGCAAGUCGAACGAGAGAAGAGAAGCUUGCUUUUCUGAUCUAGUGGCGGACGGGUGAGUAACACGUGAGCAAUCUGCCUUUCAGAGGGGGAUACCGAUUGGAAACGAUCGUUAAUACCGCAUAACAUAAUUGAACCGCAUGAUUUGAUUAUCAAAGAUUUAUCGCUGAAAGAUGAGCUCGCGUCUGAUUAGCUAGUUGGUAAGGUAACGGCUUACCAAGGCGACGAUCAGUAGCCGGACUGAGAGGUUGAUCGGCCACAUUGGGACUGAGACACGGCCCAGACUCCUACGGGAGGCAGCAGUGGGGAAUAUUGCACAAUGGAGGAAACUCUGAUGCAGCGAUGCCGCGUGAGGGAAGAAGGUUUUAGGAUUGUAAACCUCUGUCUUCAGGGACGAAAAAAGGACGGUACCUGAGGAGGAAGCUCCGGCUAACUACGUGCCAGCAGCCGCGGUAAUACGUAGGGAGCGAGCGUUGUCCGGAAUUACUGGGUGUAAAGGGAGCGUAGGCGGGAUCGCAAGUCAGAUGUGAAAACUAUGGGCUUAACCCAUAAACUGCAUUUGAAACUGUGGUUCUUGAGUGAAGUAGAGGUAAGCGGAAUUCCUAGUGUAGCGGUGAAAUGCGUAGAUAUUAGGAGGAACAUCAGUGGCGAAGGCGGCUUACUGGGCUUUAACUGACGCUGAGGCUCGAAAGCGUGGGGAGCAAACAGGAUUAGAUACCCUGGUAGUCCACGCCGUAAACGAUGAUUACUAGGUGUGGGGGGACUGACCCCUUCCGUGCCGCAGCAAACGCAAUAAGUAAUCCACCUGGGGAGUACGACCGCAAGGUUGAAACUCAAAGGAAUUGACGGGGGCCCGCACAAGCAGUGGAGUAUGUGGAUUAAUUCGAAGCAACGCGAAGAACCUUACCAGGUCUUGACAUCGUAUGCAUAGCUCAGAGAUGAGUGAAAUCUCUUCGGAGACAUAUAGACAGGUGGUGCAUGGUUGUCGUCAGCUCGUGUCGUGAGAUGUUGGGUUAAGUCCCGCAACGAGCGCAACCCUUACUGUUAGUUGCUACGCAAGAGCACUCUAGCAGGACUGCCGUUGACAAAACGGAGGAAGGUGGGGAUGACGUCAAAUCAUCAUGCCCCUUAUGACCUGGGCCUCACACGUACUACAAUGGCUGUCAACAGAGGGAUGCAAAGCCGCGAGGUGGAGCGAACCCCUAAAAGCAGUCUUAGUUCGGAUUGUAGGCUGCAACCCGCCUACAUGAAGUCGGAAUUGCUAGUAAUCGCAGAUCAGCAUGCUGCGGUGAAUACGUUCCCGGGCCUUGUACACACCGCCCGUCACGCCAUGGGAGUCGGUAACACCCGAAGCCUGUAGUCUAACCGCAAGGAGGACGCAGUCGAAGGUGGGAUUGAUGACUGGGGUG